AGUGAACGCUGGCGGUAGGCCUAACACAUGCAAGUCGAACGGCAGCACAGUAAGAGCUUGCUCUUACGGGUGGCGAGUGGCGGACGGGUGAGGAAUACAUCGGAAUCUACUUUUUCGUGGGGGAUAACGUAGGGAAACUUACGCUAAUACCGCAUACGACCUACGGGUGAAGGCAGGGGAUCUUCGGACCUUGCGCGAUUGAAUGAGCCGAUGUCGGAUUAGCUAGUUGGCGGGGUAAAGGCCCACCAAGGCGACGAUCCGUAGCUGGUCUGAGAGGAUGAUCAGCCACACUGGAACUGAGACACGGUCCAGACUCCUACGGGAGGCAGCAGUGGGGAAUAUUGGACAAUGGGCGCAAGCCUGAUCCAGCAAUACCGCGUGGGUGAAGAAGGCCUUCGGGUUGUAAAGCCCUUUUGUUGGGAAAGAAAAGCAGCAGGUUAAUACCCCGCUGUUCUGACGGUACCCAAAGAAUAAGCACCGGCUAACUUCGUG
rnacentral:rRNA from 1 species